AAUCGUCAAUCAUUGCUCGAAAGUAUCCAAUGCAAACGGAAAAUAUGUGAAGCUACGAACAGCUUUCCCGCGUGCCUCAAACAUAAGCAAGCAAGGUUAUGUUCGGAGGACGAGUAUUAGCGAAUAAAGUGAAAGCGGAUCUCACGGAUCAAGAGUUUGUUGAGGUUUUGUCCGGGUUACGAAACGAGCUAAUUGAAGCGACAACGGAUCUCACAAAUCAUCUACUGGUUGAAUUAGUUGCGUUCUGAAUUUGGAAGGCCAAAGAAGAGGUCAACACCAAGAAAUAAAUGAGCGUACCAUAUAUAUAGAGUAUUUUAGGAUAUGAAUCGUGUAUCAUUAUUUUGUAUAGCAAUCGCUUUAAGAAAUUGACUAGUUUAUCAAAUGUAACGUUCCGUAGUUUUUUUUUAAAAAGAACUAUUUUAAUUAAUUGUCGUUUCCGAUUUUAAAAUGAAAUUUUACUACGUUAUGUUACUACGUUCAUUUCGCGUUUGACCAGUGUUUGAUCAUGGAAGGUAAAUUUUUAAAUUUCAUUGUUACUCGUUCUAAUACUAUCUGUACCUGCAUCCCAAUUAAUAGCUCGAAAUAAAUUCAACUCUCACAUUUUUCUGGGCACUGAAUGGUUUGCUAUUUUGGGGAUGAAUUCUCCAGAUAUUUUUUUAGUCUUACACUUAUUGUAAGUAAG